GACAGAGGGUGCAAACGUUGUUCGGAAUUACUGGGCGUAAAGCGCUUGUAGGCGGCUCGGAAAGUCGGGUGUGAAAGCCCUGGGCUCAACCUAGGAAGUGCACUCGAAACUUCCGAGCUGGAGUUCUGGAGAGGAAGGCGGAAUUCUCGGUGUAGAGGUGAAAUUCGUAGAUAUCGAGAGGAACACCGGUGGCGAAGGCGGCCUUCUGGACAGCAACUGACGCUGAGACGCGAAAGCGUGGGGAGCAAACAGG
rnacentral:rRNA from 1 species